GACUGCAUAUUUAGGCUGCUGGAGGACAAUAUUGUCACUUUUGUGAAGAAAGAACUGAAGAAGAUCCAGAAAGUUCUGAGUUCAGAUUACCCAGAACAUUUAGAGAGUCAGAGAGAUGAUGAGGUGUUGGAAGGUGAUGAUGAAGAGCAGAGGAGGAGCAGCAGAGAGGCAGUGAUGAAGAUCACACUGAACUUCCUGAGGAGGAUGAAUCAGGAAAAGCUGGCUGACCGUCUGGAGAGCAGACAUUUUGCUCCAGUUUGUCAACACCAACUUAAAUCUGGUCUGAAGAAGACGUUCCAGUCUGUGUUUGAGGGGAUUGCUAAAGCAGGAAGUCCAACCCUUCUGAACCAGAUCUACACAGAGCUCUACA